rnacentral:rRNA from 3 species
AAACGACUCUCGGCAACGGAUAUCUCGGCUCACGCAUCGAUGAAGAACGUAGCAAAAUGCGAUACUUGGUGUGAAUUGCAGAAUCCCGUGAACCAUCGAGUUUUUGAACGCAAGUUGCGCCCGAAGCCAUUUGGCCGAGGGCACGUCUGCCUGGGCGUCACGCA